rfam:Mogibacterium pumilum strain ATCC 700696 genome.
UUAAUAAUCGAAUAUCAACCGUAGACAGUGGGAGCGAAAGCUUAAUAUCCCACCGAGGUACAAACAUAAAUUUGUUCCCCGCUGUCUCGCAGCGGGGUUAUUUGUACCGUACU